GGUUGAUUAGUGUAGUGGUUAGCACGCAAGAUUCUGAUUGGAUGUGAUAAGUCCACGAUGUUUCUUGAGUCCCCGGUUCGAACCCGGGAUCGACCU